CCUCUCUCCCCUACGUCAGUGCCAAAGCCUUGCUCCAGUGCAGAGAUGAAGCCCAAAGCACCUGCAGCCUUUGCAGCUGCUAUGAUCUCCUCCUCUUCGCAGUCCUCCAUCCCGUAGGCAAUGUUAUCCCGAAUGGAGCCAGAGAAGAGCACGGGUUCCUGCCCCACCAGUGCCACCUGGCGGUGCAGGUAGCGGUGCUCGUAGUCCCGCAGCGGCACCCCGUCCAGCAGCACUUCCCC
rnacentral:lncRNA from 1 species